rnacentral:snoRNA from 1 species
CAUUAUUUUUAAACUAAAAAAAUCCCUCUCCAACUGCAUGCCUGGAGAGACCUUGACAGCUCAGGUCAGCACAAUCCCUCCAGCUGCCACUCGCCUUUCCCAUGCUG